AACAUUUGGGCUACUCGUCAGUUCCUUUAUGCUAUUUAAAGCCAGAAAAUAGUUGAGUCUGCAAGGACAGGAGUGACAAGAUAGGAAAGGAGGAGAGCAGUUGUGGGGAAUGGUGGAGUUGCAAUACUACUAAUCUGCUGCAUCAAGACAAGCGUUGCAGAAAUGGUUAAAAAACUGCCUUUGCCAUUAGUUAAGGAUCUAUUGCUACCUUGCGCCACAUCUUUGGUUUGGGACAACUUGAGCACGAUAUUGUGGAAGAAAGACACUGAUGAAGACAGGAGUGCAAUUAAUCAAUAUUAGUUUAUUAAAAGAUUUAAUAAACUGAAUCAUGAUGCUCCAACAUUGAUGGAAUAAAAACCAGAA